GCCUGGGUGGCUCAGUGGUAGAGCAUCUGCCUUUGUUCCAGGUUGUGAACCUGGAGUCCUGGGAUCGAGUCCCGGAUCAGGCU